ACGUAGGGGUGCAAGCGUUAUCCGGGAUCACUGGGCGUAAGCGUGCGUAGGCGGGAAGUUUUAAGUGCAAUUGUUUUAAUCGUGUGGCUCAACCAUAUCGAUGCAUCGCAUACUGGGCUUUCUAGAGGACGGGCAGAGGCAAGUUGGAAUUUGGGUAGUGUAGCAGUGAAUGCGUAGAUAUUUUACCAGGAACACCAAUGGCGAAGGCAGCUUGCUGGCCGCCCCUGACGCUGAGGCACGAA
rnacentral:rRNA from 1 species